UAGGGAAUAUUAGUAAUGGGCGAAAGCCUGAACUAGCAACACCGCGUGUGCGAAGAAGGCCUUCGGGUUGUCCCGCCCUUUUUGCGCUGAUGCGUCAGGCCGGUACUCUCAGAAUAAGUCUCGGCUAACUACGUGCCAUCAGCCGCGGUAACACGUAGGAGGCAAACGUUAUCCGGAUUUCCUGGGCGUAAAGCGCGUGUAGGUGGUUUGGUAAGUAGAGCGUGAAAGCUCCUGGCUCAACUGGGAGAGGUCGUUCUAAACUGCCGGACUAGAGGAUGGUAGAGGGAGGUGGAAUUCCGGGUGUAGCGGUGGAAUGCGCAGAUAUCCGGAGGAACACCAGUGGCGAAAGCGGCCUCCUGGACGGUAACUGACGCUGAGACGCGAAAGCGUGGGGAGCAAACA
rnacentral:rRNA from 1 species